AUGAACGCUGGCGGCGUGCCUAAUACAUGCAAGUCGAGCGAACGGACGAGAAGCUUGCUUUUCUGAUGUUAGCGGCGGACGGGUGAGUAACACGUGGAUAACCUACCUAUAAGACUGGGAUAACUUCGGGAAACCGGAGCUAAUACCGGAUAAUAUUUUGAACCGCAUGGUUCAAAAGUGAAAGACGGUCUUGCUGUCACUUAUAGAUGGAUCCGCGCUGCAUUAGCUAGUUGGUAAGGUAACGGCUUACCAAGGCAACGAUGCAUAGCCGACCUGAGAGGGUGAUCGGCCACACUGGAACUGAGACACGGUCCAGUCUCCUACGGGAGGCAGCAGUAGGGAAUCUUCCGCAAUGGGCGAAAGCCUGACGGAGCAACGCCGCGUGAGUGAUGAAGGUCUUCGGAUCGUAAAACUCUGUUAUUAGGGAAGAACAUAUGUGUAAGUAACUGUGCACAUCUUGACGGUACCUAAUCAGAAAGCCACGGCUAACUACGUG
rnacentral:rRNA from 1 species